rnacentral:lncRNA from 1 species
UGGCCUCGUCCCUUGAGCUUUGCAUGGCAGAGACUGAGGGGCAAGAGCAAAGCUUAUUAUAAUAUUUGUGACCAGCAAGUUCAUGCAGCUCAAGUCAUGUGGAUCAUUGCCAAAAAGGGAAGUGUACGUGAAACAACCAAUAGUAUCUUUUCUUGGGGACUUCCUGCUCACUGCUCUGCUUGCAAGCUGCAGCUUUAGAAUAACCGGAAAGGGAAGAUCAUAUGCAUUAUUCAAUAUCAACAGAAAGGUUAUCAGUAACUACAUGCGGGCUGAACAUAAAGCGAGCGAGAGAUGAUGGAUCCUACUGGAUCGAAGAAAACAAUGCUGAAGAGCAUGAACAAGUAGUAGAAGAACAGGCAGCCAUCAUGCUAAAAUAUAAUGAACAAAAAGGGUAAGAACAUUGGGCGUUCUGGCCUUCUGGGAUGAAAAAUGGAACACUAUCGAAGUUCUGCAAUUCCACUAUACAAUCCUGUACUCAGCAUAACUUAUUUUCGGUCAUAUGGAGCUGGAACCAGACGUACCCAACCCAAAGCAAACUAUAGUGUGCCAAUCAAACAGCACUUCCAUUCUUAUGCAGCCAUUCUUGGCAGCAGGAUUACAAUCUUUUUACGCAAAUCUUUAAUCGCUACCUGCAAACCAGCCCAACAUCGN